CCCAUGCUAGCAGUGGUGGUGGAAGGCAAGCAGUCUCUGUGCAUGAUCUCCUCUGCGGAGUAGCAGUGGGGCAGAUUGUUCCUGGGGUGCCAUUUACUGGAGGGAUCAAUGGCAUAUUCCCUGAAGCUGCCCCUUUGAAGCGGAUCCGUGAAGGAGGAAAAUUGGGAGACGUCGGCUGACGUGGAGAGCUCGCCCCAGCCCGGCAGGGAGGUGCGGUCACGUGACGCCACGCCAAAUUGACAAGCGGCGGCUCCGGGCCCUCGCCCCUUCGGAGCCGGCUCGGGGGAUGCAACAGAUCGGCACGGCGCCGGGCUCCCCCCAACCCCCCCCCCGGGGUAACGCAGCCCCCCUCCGGGGCAUUGCCCCCCGCUCCGGGGGAUGCCCCCCCGAAGGGUACGGCACCCCCCGGCCGCCCGGUUCCUUGGCGGAGCGGCUUAGCCAUCCCCGCAGGGCUAGGAAUUCCGCUGGCGAUUUGCACACAAACAAGGUGAUUGCAGGAGGCUAAAAUGCUGUCUAAUUCCUCAGAUUCCCAUCGCACGAGAAGGAGGGAAAUAAAAAGAAAAAAAAAAGAAAAAAAAAAAGAAAAAGAAAAAAAAAGAAGUCCAAGUGUUUUUGAUCACGGGACACCCGGCUGUUCCUCCCCAGUACACCCCGGGUCACAGUACAGUAAUGACCGUGGGUUGUGCGUUGUAGGACUUGACCUUUCCUACGUAGAAGAGGGCGCUUUCCUCCGCGCUACGGGGAGGGGAGGGAGGGGGAACGGCGGGAGGAAGGGAGAUGCUCUCUUUGGGGAUGUUUAAUCACAAUUCAGAUCUAGGAACGGGCAAAGCUUCUGCCUUUCAGCACGCCAUGUUGAAGCUAUUCACUGGGAUUUUUUUUUUUUUUUUUUUUUUGGGGGGGGGGCGUGGGUGGGAGACGAGAGGGAGGCCGGAGGGAGGAGGAAAGACUUAAUGAACAUUUGCAUUUCGUAGCCUAGUUCAUGAAUCAACUGCAUUCAAGAGGGAGGGGGCCCGGGGCAGUGAGGCAGGGGGCAGGGAAGGGCUCGCAGCGUGGUUAAAACACCCGCGGCCCUUGCCCGGCCCCCACGGCCCCGCCGGGCCACGAGGGACAGCCGCCCCCGGUCCCCCCCCCCGUCUUCUUGGACUCCUUUACCGUCCGAGGACGCGCAGGGCCAUCUCUUCAAAUCAUCAUUAAAGUGCAUUAAAACGCAUCUAAAAGUUAUGAAUGGCAACAACCGGCCUUUUAGUGCCUGCCAAUAUUUUUUUUGUAUUAAACGCUGUCUUGAUUUUAUUGCUAACCCUGCCCACGGAGAAUGCUGAAAUGCACGAGGAGUGGGGUUUUAUUUAAGCAUUAGCCAGUUCUUUUUUUUUUUUUUUUUUUUUUUCCUAAACUUUAAUUUAUAGGCUAAAGGCCGAGAUGCUUACCCGUUCGUUCUGACGAAUACAAAAUAAAGUCGCUGCUCUGGAAGCGCGGGACGAAUUAUUAUUUUUUUUUUUUUUCCUGAGUAUUUCAAUAUUUAGCACCAUAUUUUUUUUCCUUCUCUUCAGAAGGACUUCUCAGCUAGCUAGCAUUUUUAAGCGGAAGUCUUUCUGAGAAAAAGGCGGAAAAGAUACAGUUUGCAGUUCGAGUUAUCAUUCUAUCAUUCUUUUUCGGAAAUAUGCUCCUGUCAAGGUUUAUUUCCCAUAGCAAACCACCUUUGCUACUGCCAAGAGCUCGAGGCGCGGAUAGAUUAAAUACCGGAUUAUUCUCUUGG